rnacentral:rRNA from 1 species
GACGUAGGGGGCCAGCGUUGUUCGGAAUUACUGGGUGUAAAGGGUUCGUAGGCGGUGCGGCAAGUCGGGAGUGAAAUCUCUGGGCUCAACCCAGAGGCUGCUUCCGAAACUGCUGUGCUUGAGUGUGGGAGAGGCGCGUGGAAUUGCAGGUGUAGCGGUGAAAUGCGCAGAUAUCAGGAGGAACACCGGUGGCGAAGGCGGGUCUCUGGGCCGAAACUGACGCUGAGGAGCGAAAGCGUGGGGAGCAAACAGG